UAUCUACAGGCUUAACACAUGCAAGUCGAGGGGCAGCAUGGUCUUAGCUUGCUAAGGCCGAUGGCGACCGGCGCACGGGUGAGUAACACGUAUCCAACCUGCCGUCUACUCUUGGACAGCCUUCUGAAAGGAAGAUUAAUACAAGAUGGCAUCAUGAGUCCGCAUGUUCACAUGAUUAAAGGUAUUCCGGUAGACGAUGGGGAUGCGUUCCAUUAGAUAGUAGGCGGGGUAACGGCCCACCUAGUCUUCGAUGGAUAGGGGUUCUGAGAGGAAGGUCCCCCACAUUGGAACUGAGACACGGUCCAAACUCCUACGGGAGGCAGCAGUGAGGAAUAUUGGUCAAUGGGCGAGAGCCUGAACCAGCCAAGUAGCGUGAAGGAUGACUGCCCUAUGGGUUGUAAACUUCUUUUAUAAAGGAAUAAAGUCGGGUAUGGAUACCCGUUUGCAUGUACUUUAUGAAUAAGGAUCGGCUAACUCCGCGCCAGCAGCCGCGGUAAUACGGAGGAUCCGAGCGUUAUCCGGAUUUAUUGGGUUUAAAGGGAGCGUAGAUGGAUGUUUAAGUCAGUUGUGAAAGUUUGCGGCUCAACCGUAAAAUUGCAGUUGAUACUGGAUAUCUUGAGUGCAGUUGAGGCAGGCGGAAUUCGUGGUGUAGCGGUGAAAUGCUUAGAUAUCACGAAGAACUCCGAUUGCGAAGGCAGCCUGCUAAGCUGCAACUGACAUUGAGGCUCGAAAGUGUGGGUAUCAAACAGGAUUAGAUACCCUGGUAGUCCACACGGUAAACGAUGAAUACUCGCUGUUUGCGAUAUACUGCAAGCGGCCAAGCGAAAGCGUUAAGUAUUCCACCUGGGGAGUACGCCGGCAACGGUGAAACUCAAAGGAAUUGACGGGGGCCCGCACAAGCGGAGGAACAUGUGGUUUAAUUCGAUGAUACGCGAGGAACCUUACCCGGGCUUAAAUUGCAGAUGAAUUACGGUGAAAGCCGUAAGCCGCAAGGCAUCUGUGAAGGUGCUGCAUGGUUGUCGUCAGCUCGUGCCGUGAGGUGUCGGCUUAAGUGCCAUAACGAGCGCAACCCUUGUUGUCAGUUACUAACAGGUUCCGCUGAGGACUCUGACAAGACUGCCAUCGUAAGAUGUGAGGAAGGUGGGGAUGACGUCAAAUCAGCACGGCCCUUACGUCCGGGGCUACACACGUGUUACAAUGGGGGGUACAGAGGGCCGCUACCACGCGAGUGGAUGCCAAUCCCCAAAACCUCUCUCAGUUCGGACUGGAGUCUGCAACCCGACUCCACGAAGCUGGAUUCGCUAGUAAUCGCGCAUCAGCCACGGCGCGGUGAAUACGUUCCCGGGCCUUGUACACACCGCCCGUCAAGCCAUGGGAGCCGGGGGUACCUGAAGUGCGUAACCGCGGGGAGCGCCCUAGGGUAAAACUGGUGACUGG
rnacentral:rRNA from 1 species